rnacentral:rRNA from 1 species
CCUACGGGUGGCAGCAGUGAGGAAUAUUGGUCAAUGGCCGGAAGGCUGAACCAGCCAAGCCGCGUGAAGGACGAAGGUGCCAAGCAUUGUAAACUUCUUUUGUCAAGGGACAAAAUCAGGUUCGAGAGCCUGACCGAGGGUACUUGAAGAAAAAGCAUCGGCUAAGUCUGUGCCAGCAGCCGCGGUAAUACGGAGGGUGCGAGCGUUAUCGGGAUUUAUUGGGUUUAAAGGGUGCGUAGGCGGGCGGUUAAGUCCGCGGUAAAAGCCCGGGGCUCAACCCCGGCGCGCAGUUGAAACUGGGUGUCUUGAGAUGUCGAGAGGUAAGCGGAAUGCGCAGUGUAGCGGUGAAAUGCUUAGAUAUUGGGCAGAACUCCGGUUGCGAAGGCAGCAUACCGGAGGCGAUCUGACGCUGAGGCACGAAAGCGUGGGUAUCGAACAGGAUUAGAUACCCCUGUAGUC